rnacentral:rRNA from 1 species
UUUUUUUUUUUGUUCACUCGCCCCGCCCGGAAAAAUACAUAUCAAUAAGCGGAGGAAAAGAAACCAACAGGGAUUGCCCUAGUAACGGCGAGUGAAGCGGCAACAGCUCAAAUUUGAAAUCUGGCUCUUUCAGGGUCCGAGUUGUAAUUUGCAGAGGGCGCUUUGGCGUUGGCAGCGGUCCAAGUUCCUUGGAACAGGACGUCACAGAGGGUGAGAAUCCCGUACGUGGUCGCUAUCCAUCGCCGUGUAAAGCCCCUUCGACGAGUCGAGUUGUUUGGGAAUGCAGCUCUAAAUGGGAGGUAAAUUUCUUCUAAAGCUAAAUACUGGCCAGAGACCGAUAGCGCACAAGUAGAGUGAUCGAAAGAUGAAAAGCACUUUGGAAAGAGAGUCAAAUAGCACGUGAAAUUGUUGAAAGGGAAGCGCUUGCAGCCAGACUUGCCUGUAGUUGCUCAUCCGGGCUUUUGCCCGGUGCACUCUUCUGCGGGCAGGCCAGCAUCAGUUUGGGCGGUUGGAUAAAGGUCUCUGUCAUGUACCUCUCUUCGGGGAGGCCUUAUAGGGGAGACGUCAUGCAACCAGCCUGAACUGAGGUCCGCGCAUCUGCUAGGAUGCUGGCGUAAUGGCUGUAAGCGGCCCGUCUUGAAACACGGACCAAGGAGUCUAACAUCUAUGCGAGUGUUUGGGUGUCAAGCCCGAGCGCGUAAUGAAAGUGAACGGAGGUGGGACCCCUUUAGGGUGCACCAUCGACCGAUCCUGAUGUCUUCGGAUGGAUUUGAGUAAGAGCAUGGCUGUUGGGACCCGAAAGAUGGUGAACUAUGCUUGAAUAGGGUGAAGCCAGAGGAAACUCUGGUGGAGGCUCGCAGCGGUUCUGACGUGCAAAUCGAUCGUCAAAUUUGGGCAUAGGGGCGAAAGACUAAUCGAACUAUCUAGUAGCUGGUCCUGCGGU